GUACUCACUUUGGCAGCACAUAUACUAAAAUUGGUACAAUACAGGGAAGAUUAGCAUGGCAUCUAAGCAAGGAUGACAUACAAAUUUCUGUAGUGUUCCAUAUUCUU